GCCGCGACGAGGAUCAGGGCAAGCAGCCACCGUGACCGACGACGCGCAGAUAAGCGGUAACCCUAAGUGGUUAGGGUAGGCGCGGGUAGGAGGGUUUGCACGUUCCCAAGUGGUUGGGAAGCAGUUCGGACGCUGGGGAGACGGAGCAGAGGAGGAACGAGGGAGAGGGUGCAGUAACGGGAGCUCGGGCGCGGGGGAGGUGGAGCAGAGGAGAGGUUGCGGAGACGGGAACUACACGGCAGUCCCUGCGGCAGCUGUGCAGCCCCUAUGCAUCGCUACCUCGAGUCGGGCUCGGGUCGUCUUCGGGUGAGGAUUGGGAUAAGCGAGCUAACUGUUCUGGUCUAUUGCCUAACCUAGCUCCCGCGGGCGUACCGGAGCGGCGGUGAGGGCGGACCUAAGCGAUCGGCGGCGCACCUCAGUGGGACCGGCGGCGGAGCUCAGUGGAGGCAGCGACGGCGGAGCUCAGUGGAGGUAGCGGCGGUGCUUAGUCGAGGUGGCAACGGCGGUCCUUAGAGCAGGUCCGUUCCUUACUUACAAGAUGCCAACCUCGUCUCCCCCAGCCCAUCGUCAACUCGAAUCCGUACUUAAAUGUCCAAGUUCUAAAAGAAUGUGUACCCCGAAUAAGAGGAUUACAAAGAUCCACCGAUGAGUACAGACCGAACCACGGAUAUAAAAUCUACAAGGUAAUUAUAACCGACGAAAAGAGUAGGCAAGACCCGAAAUUGGAACCUAGAUCUUCCAACGUCGAAGAAACAAGAGGAUGAGUUCUAAACGAGUAACAAGUCAAGUUCGGUACAAGGAGUCACUUUCACCACUACUACAACGAAUUUCCGCGGAGUUGAACGUCGUUUAUAUACCCGUACACGUUGACGUUGAAUACAUCCUGUUAAACAAGAGAUAACAAAAAUAAAUCUUCAAAGAGGUACUACCAUGAAAGUUGGACCUUUGAACUUUUUCUUAGUUCCGGCCACUGGGUCGAAAACAAGAUACCCUUCGGGAAGCAGUUUACUUCGAGGUUGGACUCGUUCCCGUAUCAUCGUCUAUAAAGUCUCUUCAAAUCUCGAAGUGUUGGAAUCGUCUCUACUUUGUUAGUUAGUUGACUCUACGUAGUGUACUAGAAAAAGAGAACUGCAACUAACCAUAACUCGGGUAUGUAGUUGAAUAGAUACCUUUAGAAUAGUCACAACUCUUCCACCGUGUUUUUGAGUUUGCGUCCCGCUAGUUGAAUCUUCGUAGCCCUUCCUGAAAAUCCUACCAUGGCGCCAGUUUACGUAGGAUCCUAUCCAGUAAAUUCUUAAUACAUACCACACAAAGCGAGGAAAAACAAAUGGUAUUCGUGUCAUCGUAGUUAAAUAAUACUAGGAAGACAAAUCUCAUCCACGUCUUAACUCUGAAUGGGUCUAACACUCUCGACUACUACUAAGAUAAUCUUCAGAAACGACGGACGUUAUAAAUACAGAGACAUUUAUCGUAUUGAUUCCGAUAUACCAAAAAUUACACCGCUUCUAGAUUAAGGACGGCUCACAUCCAAGGUUUCGUGUCUCAACGACUUUUUACCUUUAUAAAAGUUACUCGG
rnacentral:rRNA from 1 species